AUGGCACAAAAAGCAAAUAUUCAUUUCAGAGCACAAUGAGCAGCCUAACUAGGAGUUAUGUCUUGAAGCAAGCACGAAUAUCUCCUAUACAAUCCUGUGGAGGUUUUUAGUCUCCUAAUUAGAGUUUAUUCAUUACUUAAUCUUGCAAUUCUCCAUAGCUCCAAGAUGGCAUCUGACACCUUGAUUGCUUACUCAGUUCACAUCAUAUGCAAUUAGUCAGCACAGCAAUGUCUGAGUCCAUUAUUCUCUUACAGGUAACUCUUUGCCGGGUGGUAGGAAUUCUUUUGUUUCGACUGGAAAUUUCCUCUUUUCUCUUCCCUUUUACUCAUGGUCUGUAUCAAUAAUAGUACUCAAAAAAAAAAAAAAAAUUCUAAGUUUUGCCAAAUUAUGGCCUUAUGUCUUAUCUUUUCUUCAAUAAACAGAGGUUAAAUCAUAAGGCCUCUGAAGUCCCUCUGAGUCUUUCCACUUUCCUCAAUGUGAAGAUUUAGCUUCAUUGUUCCUUUCUUUCAAACAUGCAGCUUUUUCCUCCUUUUCCAUGCUUUCUUGGAUGUUCUGCUCCCCUCCCUUCCCCCCAAGAAAAAAUAAAAUACAAUUCCUUGUAGUUUUCUAGAUAUCUAGAAUAGAAGACAUUUUAUCCUACUUUUGGGGCAAUAUUUUAGGGAAUUUUUCCUUUAGUGGGGCUUUUGUGAAACUUUCUUUCAUUGCUUCUAAGUUGUGUCUACAGUCAAGCAGAAAACAAAAUGAAUCUCAUUUUUCCUAAGAUAUUUAGGUACCACAGGCAAUUUCUAUGCUAUAUUUGCAUCCAUUCUUUUCCUACAAUUAUUCUUGUUUUCAAGCUACCAUGUACAUAUCCUUGUAUGGUUUCCCAUCCCAUCCCCUCAGCAUCCCUACAGUUUUUCCCUAUAUGAACUUUGGUGUUUAGAUGACCUUCUUCCUACAACUUUUAGAGUGGAAGUCUUGGUUUUUUUGUCUACAUACAUACCAUGUUUAGCUCCAUCAGUUUAGAUGGUCCAUUCAACUUCUUACCCCUCCAUCACAAAAUACAUAAGACACUAUUAAGACAGAGGUAGUGGGGGAUAUAUCUGGACCUGCAUAUGAAAGGUGUGAUGACAAGUACUUUUGUGAUGCUACAUUAAAACAACUAUUAUCUUGGUUUUUGGAUAAGUAGAAAUAAUGGGGCGCUUAUAAAAACAGUAAAGGCCAUGAAAUUAAAAAAAAAAAAAUUCCUAAACUUCUUCUGCAUUUAUACACAUAUUUACCAACAGUUCUCCCAAACUACCCAGAAAAAGAAAUAAAAUUAAUUAUGAAGCUACUAAGCUCUUUAAAAAAGAUUAAAGUUAACACUAUGUGAUAGUGGAAAAUUCUAUGUGGCAGUUAAAAUUAACCAUAGUGCUUGUUCAAUCUUAAAACUAAUAAGUUUAUUUUUAUUAAAUAUAGCUUUUUUAAAAAGCUAAGAAAACACAAUUUCCUUUAAAAACCUUCUGAAUGAAUUCUUCAAAUAGCUAAGGCAAAGUUGAAAUCUGUAAUGAUUAAAAUUCUUAUGUAUGCCAACAAAGGCUACUAACAUUUUAUAGUGCUCUAAGGUUUACAAAGUGCUUUCUUUGCAACUGGUGUAAGAUAGGAAGUGCAACCCAUAUUUUAUAGAUCCAAAUCAACAUAAUUUUAAAUUAAAAUCAACAGUGAAGAGUCUACAAAUUGAAUAAAUCAAUCUCUUU
rnacentral:lncRNA from 1 species